rnacentral:rRNA from 1 species
UACGGGGGGGGGCAAGCGUUGUUCGGAAUUACUGGGCGUAAAGGGCUCGUAGGCGCCAACUAAGUCAGACGUGAAAUCCCUCGGCUUAACCGGGGAACUGCGUCUGAUACUGGUUGGCUUGAAUCCGGGAGAGGGAUGUGGAAUUCCAGGUGUAGAGGUGAAAUUCGUAGAUAUCGGGAGGAACACCGGUGGCGAAGGCGGCUCACUGGCCCGAUACUGACCGCUGAGGCACGAAAGCGUGGGGAGCAAACAGGG